rnacentral:lncRNA from 1 species
GUCCGUUCGUCUGUCUGUUCGUUCGUUCGUCCGUCCGUCCGUUCGUUCGUCCGUCUGUCCCGCUUCAGGUUAAAGUUUUUGGUCAAGGUAGUUUUUGAUGAAGCUGAAGUCCAAUCAACUUGAAACUUAGUACAUAUGUUCCUUAUGAUAUGAUCUUUCUAAUUUUAAAGACAAAUUAAACUUUUGACCCCGAUUUCACGGUCCACUGAACAUAGAAAAUGAAAGUGCGAGUUUCAGGUUAAAGUUUUUGGUCAAGGUAGUUUUUGAUGAAGUUGAAGUCCAAUCAACUUGAAACUUAGUACAAAUGUUCCCUAUGAUAUGAUCUUUCUAAUUUUAAUGCCUAAUUAUAUUUUUUACCCAUUUUCACGGUCCAUCGAACAUGGAAAAUGAUAGUGCGAAUGGG